rnacentral:rRNA from 1 species
GACGAACGCUGGCGGCGUGCUUAACACAUGCAAGUCGAACGGAAAGGCCCUGCUUUUGUGGGGUGCUCGAGUGGCGCACGGGUGAGUAACACGUGAGUAACCUGCCCUUGACUGUGUGAUAACUUCAGGGAACUGGGGCUAAUAUCGCAUAGAAUAUCCUGCUGCAUGGGGGGGGUUGGUAAGUUUCGGCGGUUGGGGAUGGACUCGCGGGUUAUCAGCUUGAUGGUGGGGUAGUGGCGUACCAGGCCUGUGACGGGUAGCCGGCCUGGGAGGGGGACCGGCCACAUGGGGACUGCGGGACGGCCCAGACUCCUACGGGAGGCAGCAGUGGGGAAUAUUGCACAAUGGGCGGAAGCCAGAUGCAGCAACGCCGCGUGCGGGAUGACGGCCUUCGGGUUGUAAACAGCUUUCUAAGGUGACGAAGACGUAGUGACGGUAAUUGGUAAGAAAGCAACGGCUAACUACGUG